AUUAUGUGAAACAAAUUAAGUUGAAAUUACUUGACCCUAUAUAUCUAACUAAUAGCAUAUGCACCGAGUUAAGUCAGUUUUGUUUUCGUUUUGGAAACGACGACUUACAUAUAUAGUUGCUUUCAUAAUGAUUUCUUCAGUAUUAAUCUUACCUUUGUCAUAAAGAAUUUUUAUAACUUGAACUUGAAGCAUACACCAAUGGAGCUGCUCUUAACAAUUUUUAUCACCAUGAACAAUUGAUU
rnacentral:lncRNA from 1 species